rnacentral:rRNA from 1 species
GACGGGGAGCAGCAGGCGCGAAAACUUCGCAAUGUGCGAAAGCGCGACGAGGUUAAUCCGAGUGCCGCCCGCUGAGGGCGGCUUUUCUUAGGUGUAAAUGGUCUGAGGAAUAAGGGGAGGGAAAGCCUGGUGUCAGCCGCCGCGGUAAUACCAGCUCCCCGAGUGGUCGGGACGUUUAUUGGGCCUAAAGCAUCCGUAGCCCGCCCUGUUGGUCCCAGGUUAAAUCCAAUCGCUCAACGAUUGGGCCGCAUGGGAUACCGCAGGGCUAGGAGGCGGGAGAGGCGGACGGUACUCCGCGGGUAGGGGUAAAAUCCACUGAUCCGCGGAAGAACACCAGUGGCGAAAGCGGUCCGCCAGAACGCGCUCGACGGUGAGGGAUGAAAGCUGGGGGAGCGAACCGGAUUAGAUACCCGGGUAUUCCAGCUGUAAACGAUGCGAGCUAAGUGAUGGAGUGGCUACGUGCCAUUCCAAUGCCGCAGGGAAACCGUUUAGCUCGCCGCCUGGGGAGUACGGUCNCNAAGCUNNAAAUUAAANGAAUNUGGGGGGGGAGCNCNAUCUNUANAAGAUUCCCCNGGUA